UAAACAAUAAAAUAAUUUUUUUAUAAUUUUAUGCGGUCGAAUUCUCACGGAAACAGCUAGUAUUGUCAUAUUUGUAAUAGUAGAGGAAAAAUUAUGCAAGCUAAGAAUUUAAAUAACGUUUGAACGAGUUACUCUUAAUUUCUAGAAAAAAAUCAGCUAUCUUUGUAUCAAUUUAAAUCGAUAUUUUCAAUAUAAAGUACAUCACUAUUUAACCCAAAGCGAAUUACUGCAAUACCUGAAUAAAUAUUUGUCCCGCCAAAAAAACAUUUUUUUUUAAAUUAUGUAGAAAAUAUCUAUGCAUUGUAAUUGGGAGUAUAAAUUAAAGCGACUUCUUGUUUUUCAAACCAGUUACUUCGUUGCAUUUAAAAUGAUUCGUACAUUCGUUUUCGUGUUAACUUUGCUGUGCGUGUCGCAGAUGGUGGCUUCUCAGGGCUGCCUCUGUCUUCCUAUUUAUAUGCCGGUGUGCGGUUCCGAUGGCAAAACUUACUCUAACAGGGCGUGCAUGUAUUGUGCCAACCCUAAACUAACUGUCGCCAAAGAAGGAGAAUGUUGACAUUUCACAUCUUUGUAUCCAAAAGAGUGUUCACAUUAAAAUGUUUAAAAUAUU